AAAUUUUCAUUUUUCUUUUUCCCUUUUCCCAAACAAACCCACUCAGCCCCGAAUCUCACGAAAUAUCUUCCAACAGAUGGUUUCGCAUUCUCUUUCUCGCUCUCUCUCUCUCUCUUUCUCUCUCCAUUUCCUUUACUUGUUCUUCUUCUUUCUCCUGAUUUUUCUCUGACUUGGAUCCGAUAACCCAAUCCGGUUUUGGAUUAUGACUUUCGAACCCUAAACUCUGUAUUGAAGGUCAAGCUUUCUUAGAUUCUUUUUUUUUUUUUUUUUUUUCGGGGGGUAGGAAUGGGUGAGGAGGUGAAGAUGAGCGCGUAUGAAGGCGGUGUUGAUUAUGAUGGUGGUAGUGGUGGUGGUGGUGAUGACGACCGAGUUUUUGAGUGGGAGGCUGGGUUACCGAACACCAACGAUCUGACUCCUUUAUCUCAGCUGUUGAUCCCGCCGGAGCUGGCUUCGGCGUUUAGCAUAUCGCCGGAACCAUGCCGGACUCUCCUCGACGUUAAUCGUGCGUCGAAGAAUACGCUUUCUACACUACGCGGUGGGAACUCGCAAGCUUUCUCGUCCAACAAUUUCAAGUCUUUCAACGAAAACCGCGACCCUAUGGUUGUCGAAGGCGAAGAGACUGAUCGAGAUGGGUCCGGAUCCGAUUCCAGGAAGUCUCGGAAGAUUGACUCUGCGGAAGAAGCCGAUUCCGCUUUCCGCACAGAGAAUUCGACCGACGACCCAUCGGCUCGAACCCUCAAGCGUCCUCGGCUCGUUUGGACUCCUCAGCUCCAUAAACGGUUCGUCGACGUCGUGGCUCAUCUCGGAAUCAAGAACGCGGUGCCGAAGACGAUUAUGCAGUUGAUGAACGUCGAGGGUCUGACCCGAGAGAACGUGGCUAGCCAUUUGCAGAAGUACAGACUGUACCUGAAGAGGAUGCAGGGGUUGUCGACCGAAGGUCCAUCGUCGUCGGACCCGCUCUUCGCGUCGACGCCUGUGCCGCAGAGCUUGCACGAGUCCGGUGGAAGCGGCCACUCGAAUGGACAUGGAAAUGGGCACAUGGCGGGUCCGAUUACAAUGCCGUACCCGCCGCCGAUGAUGUCCAUGCCGGUUCUUGGUAUGGCUAAUGGUCACGGACACAUGGGAAUGCCGGUCGGGAACCCGAAUGGUGCGACGGGUUAUCAUGGGUUUGAGUCGCACCAUCCUUAUAAUAUGUUGCAGCAGCGAGAUUGGUCGGGAAAUAAGUAUGGUUCGGUGGUGCCGUACCCGCAUGUGGCUCCCAACGAUAAAUGAAAUCUUUGUUUUAAGAUAUUAUUGACACCAUAAGCAGGGAUUGAAAAGUUGAGCAAGUUGGUUGAAGCUAACUGUUGAAUGUCAACCUGUAAGGUUGCUUGGUUGGUAAUCCUGAACCUGACCGGCAUGGGAAAAAGGUUCUUAGGUAUUAUGUGGAGAUGCUUUAUGCGCAUAUUCCAAUAUGAUUUGGGAAUUGGGGUUUUGUAUAAACCAGGCAAUGUGACAAAAUUCUCUCAACAUAUAUUAGACAUAUAUAUUCCAGUUACCUAGUAGCUGCAGGAGGUUUUUGGUGUAUUCUGGUCUACCUAGUUCAAAGCAAGUCAUCAACGGAAAAGCAAAAAGCCAGUAAUAAAACUAAGCAAGAGUCUUUCAGCUGUUCUUCCUUGCUGGGCUGAAUGCCUUUUUCACCUUAUCGCCUCUUUUGUCAUGUGAGAAAUGCUUUCCAACUUUUCAAAAUAUAGAAGGCUCAAUAUUUAGGACUGGUUAUUAGCGGAUUCACCAUAUCUGUGUUGUGACAAGACAUGGAAGGACAAGAGAGGCUGAUUGGGUCUACCCGGCUGGAUAUAGAGGAAUUACAGAAAAUAAAUGAAUUGAAGAACUUGGAUAAAAGGCUUCUAUACCCAAGUCCUAAUGUAUUUAACAGUUUGCCUGGACUCUUCUGCCUGAGGCUUUUGUUAUAAUGGUUUCAGAAAAGUAGUUUGUAAUGGUCGAUACCUGAUUGUUUAACCUAAAUAAAGGCAGCAUUACUUCGUGGUUCUGUUUAAGUGUUUCAGGACCGUAAGGUUAUGCACUUUCCUUUAGAAUUCUUCACAGAAAAGGACAUACAUGUAACAUAUUCAUUGAAGUGUGUAAGGUGCGAGUCCUCAAUGAUGGAAAUCCUGUAAUAUAUGUUCUGUUCUGACA